UUUACACCUUAUCUGCCCAAAAACAUCCUCUGAAGCCUCUCUAACCCAGGGAUCCUCCUUACUCCUCCCCUACCCAUUCCCCCCACCCUCCAUCAUACUAGGGCCAGUUCUCUAGUAGAUACUGCCAAUUACCCUUGGCAGAGGUGCCCUGCUCACUGAUUUCAUUUGAGGGAGAGCCCUGGAACCUGGUUUUAAUGUCUGGCACACGCCACUCCAGGAUCUCCCAGUUUGUGUUUCUACAUCUGCAGGCUGAUGCUGAUUUCUAACCACCCCAUGUCAAUCAUUUUAGUUUGUGGGCAUCACCUAUGCCCUGACCGUUGUGUGGCUCCUGGUGUUUGCCUGCUCUGCUGUGCCUGUGUAUAUUUACUUCAACACCUGGACCACCUGCCAGUCUAUUGCCUUCCCCAGCAAGACCUCUGCCAGUAUAGGCAGUCUCUGUGCUGAUGCCAGAAUGUAUGGUGUUCUCCCAUGGAAUGCUUUCCCUGGCAAGGUUUGUGGCUCCAACCUUCUGUCCAUCUGCAAAACAGCUGAGUUCCAAAUGACCUUCCACCUGUUUAUUGCUGCAUUUGUGGGGGCUGCAGCUACACUGGUUUCCCUGCUCACCUUCAUGAUUGCUGCCACUUACAACUUUGCCGUCCUUAAACUCAUGGGCCGAGGCACCAAGUUCUGAUCCCCUGUAGAAAUCCCCCUUUCUCUAAUAGCGAGGCUCUAACCACACAGCCUACAAUGCUGCGUCUCCCAUCUUAACUCUUUGCCUUUGCCACCAACUGGCCCUCUUCUUACUUGACGAGUGUAACAAGAAAGGAGAGUCUUGCAGUGAUUAAGGUCUCUCUUUGGACUCUCCCCUCUUAUGUACCUCUU
rnacentral:sRNA from 1 species